UAGGUUCUUUAAUUCACAAUUCCUGAGUUCUUUAAUUACUUUUAUUUACAUUCAAGUUAUUUAUUGGACUCCCGCUUGCAUCAAGUGCUCUAAUCUUUGAAACAUUAGAGUAGUAAUUAAUAGAUUAGACGUGGUGUUUAGUCUUGCAAUUACCUGGAAUUGCACCCAAUCCUGCGGAUUGUUGUGGUAGCCCUAGGGUGGUGACAGCCCUAACGGUCGACGUAUUCCACCUCGUUCGAAUCGGUGUUUGUAGGACCGUAGUCAGAGCUUCCUAGCCCCC
rnacentral:lncRNA from 1 species